GGCGAACGGGUGAGUAACGCGUAGGAAUACACCUUAAAGAGGGGGAUAACUUGGGGAAACUCAAGCUAAUACCGCGUAAGCUCUACGGAGUAAGGCAGGGGACCUUCGGGCCUUGCGCUUUAAGAGUAGCCUGCGUCUGAUUAGCUAGUUGGUGGGGUAAAGGCCUACCAAGGCGAUGAUCGGUAGCUGGUCUGAGAGGAUGGACAGCCACACUGGGACUGAGACACGGCCCAGACUCCUACGGGAGGCAGCAGUGGGGAAUAUUGGACAAUGGGGGCAACCCUGAUCCAGCGAUGCCGCGUGUGUGAAGAAGGCCUGAGGGUUGUAAAGCACUUUUAGUGGGGAGGAUAGGCUAUCGGUUAAGAGCUAAUAGUCCGGACGUUACCACCAUAAACAGCACCGGCUAACUCCGUGCCAGCAGCCGCGGUAAUACGGGGGGUGCAAGCGUUAAUCGGAGUUAUUGGGCGUAAAGGGUAC
rnacentral:rRNA from 1 species